UUAAACACUGCUUCUCUUGUCUUUUUUUUUUUUUUCAGCUGAAAACUCGGCAGCCAAGGCUGGUGAUGUGCUUGGCAUGAGCAUGGGGCCGUUAGUUCCCUGGUGUAUAGGGAAAUGCCUGGCUCACUGCUUAGCAAUCGCCUAUCUCAGGCCAAUUCUGCCUUAAAAGCUGGUUCUCAGCUAGCUGAACUAGAAGUCAACGCGCCACCUUGUCGGCCCAAGGACACACCCUAAAGUGCCAGCAGAGAAGGUCAAGAAUUCUAAUCCCCUGGGUGACCCCAGAAGGAAGGAUUCUAGUGGCUGGUCACUGUGAUGACAGACAGACACUAUGAAGAACUUCCCAUGUGGGCUCUCAUACCCAUGGCCCCAGUUGCUCUCCAGGAUGUCCCUCAGAGGUGACUAGCAUUUCAACCACACCUACACCAGUGUCUGGGGACCCACUGUGGCCUUUGUAGGUGGCAGAGGUCUGUUUCUCCAGCUCCUAAGGUCUGUUUCAGGUUUCUCAUGAUCUUCUUGAAUAGGAGCCCCUCAUCAAGAUCAGAGGUCUCCUGAGGGUGGGGUGGGGGACGGCAUGUGCCUGACAGCUUGACCUCCUUGUCCAUCCUUCCAUGAAAAUAUACCAAAUAAAACAUCAGGAGUCAUGCGUUCA
rnacentral:lncRNA from 1 species